rnacentral:lncRNA from 1 species
AAUUAAUUUAUUAUUAUUAAUUAAUUAUUUAAUGUACUUAUUCAUUAAUCAAUAUUUAUAUUGAUUAAUUAAUUAGUAUUUUGACUAAUUUAAAUAUCUGAUUGUUAUAACUAAUUUAUUUAUUAAUUUAUUAAAUUAUUUGUGAUUAAUUAAAUUAUUAAUUAGUAAUUAAUUUAUUAAUUAAUAUUUAGGGUUAUUUAGCAAUAUUCAUGAUUAAUUAGUAAAUUAAAUAAGUUGAAUUAUUAUUUUGUUAAUAUUUUGUAUUAAUUAAUUAGAUAAAAUAUUAUUAUGUUAAAACUAUAAUUAUUCUUAUCCUUACUAUUCCAAUCUAACUAUCCAAACGUUUUUACUUAUUUUCGAGAAAAACUCAGUUUUCAUCCAAACGCAAAAUUGAUUUUGUUCAUAUUUAUUCCAAGAAUUGUACCUAUUCCUGGAAUAGUCUACGAUAGCUCAGUCUCGAACCAAACGGUGCCUAUAUAUAUAUAGGGCCAAUUGUUUAUAUACUCCUAAAAAGUUUCUGACUUUCUGAUUUAUCGCUCUUAGAAGUGUAAUAUAGAAAAUAUUCUUUUUACGUUCCAAUCUAUUUCAAAUAUACCCGUAGCUGUUAUCUGUAUGAAAUUAGAGUUAAAUUCUGUUAAUGAACCGUUAACAAUAGCUGUUAUCUGUAUGAAAUUACUAUUUUCCUCUUUCCAAUAUACCCUUCCACCAUCACCAACUUUUCUUAAUUGCCCUUAAGUUAGGGGUACAAAAAGUAUUUUGAUUUUUUAUCUUUUCAAAUAUACUUUUCUAUCAUAACCAACAUUUCUUAUUUGCCCUUAAGCUAAGGGCAAAAGAGGUAUUUUGAUUUUUUUUUAACUCUAGUAGAUUUUUGACGCACAUUUAACACAAAUUAACUUAACGGAGGGUAACUGAAGGAGUAUUUUGGAAUAACGGAGGAACAUAUGAGGGGUAUAUUGAAAAAAAAAAAGUAGGGGUAAAUGAAAUAUUUCUGAAGUUUUGAAGGGUAUAUAGACAAUUAUCCCAUAUAUAUAUAUAUAUCGAGUACGUCUCCGUACGGAGGCCUCCGUGUUUGUAAGUUGUUUUCGAUGAUAGGACAUCCGAUUCGACGAUCGACUCCAUUAGGCAUAAUCUAUACUAUUGGAACUAUGUAGAAACCAAAUUUUAUAAUUUUUCGACAUCAUUUACCAAGCGAUCAUAGGGUCUCAAAAAUGACUAUUUUAACGGCCGAUGUGGCAUGUUUUUAAGUUCAAUAGUGUAGAAGUAUUCAAAUUACAUGAAACUUUAAUAGAAAGUUCUACUUAACAUCAAGAGUAAGAAUAAUACUUUCGAUUUGAAAUUUGAGUCAUUUAUCACUAUUUUUUAUGAGUUUUCUUUUCAAUCGUUCAUUUUGAGGCUACUCGUUCACUAGGCAAACGAAGUAAAAAAAUUAUGAAAUUUGGUUUUCAGAUAGUUCCAAUAGCGUAGAUCAUGUUUAACAGAACCGAUUGUCGAAUCGGGCGUCCCAUCAUUGAAAACAACUUACAAGCACGGAGGUCUCCGUACUUUCG